AAGAAUUUAGUUUAAGUUUUAGAAUUUGUGAUUGUAAAUUAUAGGGUUUUUGUUCUUG
rnacentral:tRNA from 1 species